GACGAACGCUGGCGGCGUGCUUAACACAUGCAAGUCGAACGGAAAGGCCCUGCUUUUGUUGGGUGCUCGAGUGGCGAACGGGUGAGUAACACGUGAGUAACCUGCCCUUGACUUUGGGAUAACUUCAGGAAACUGGGGCUAAUACCGGAUAGGAGCUCCUGCUGCAUGGUGGGGGUUGGAAAGUUUCGGCGGUUGGGGAUGGACUCGCGGCUUAUCAGCUUGUUGGUGGGGUAGUGGCUUACCAAGGCUUUGACGGGUAGCCGGCCUGAGAGGGUGACCGGCCACAAUGGGACUGAGAUACGGCCCAGACGCCUACGGGAGGCAGCAGGGGGGAAUAUUGCACAAUGGGCUGAAGCCUGAUGCAGCAACGCCGCGUGCGGGAUGACGGCCUUCGGGUUGUAAACCGCUUUCGCCUGUGACGAAGCGUGAGUGACGGUAAUGGGUAAAGAAGCACCGGCUAACUACGUG
rnacentral:rRNA from 1 species